rnacentral:rRNA from 1 species
GGGCCCGCACAAGCGGUGGAGUAUGUGGUUCAAUUCGACGCAACGCGAAAAACCUUACCUAGGCUUGACAUGUAGAGAAUUCCUAUGAAAGUAGGAAGUGCCCGCAAGGGAACUCUAACACAGGUGCUGCAUGGCUGUCGUCAGCUCGUGUCGUGAGAUGUUGGGUUAAGUCCCGCAACGAGCGCAACCCUCGUCUCUAGUUGCUACCAGUUCGGCUGAGCACUCUAGAGAGACCGCCGGUGUUAAACCGGAGGAAGGUGAGGAUGACGUCAAGUCCUCAUGGCCUUUAUGCCUAGGGCUACACACGUACUACAAUGGAUGUUACAAAGGGUUGCCAACCAGCAAUGGGGAGCUAAUCCCAAAAAAGCAUCCCAAGUUCAGAUCGGCCUCUGCAACUCGAGACCGUGAAGCCGGAAUCGCUAGUAAUCGCAGAUCAGCAUGCUGUGGUGAAUACGUUCCCGGGCCUU